UCGUAUAGACCCGGGAGGCGACACGAGGCCUUCCGGGCCGACUAUGAUUGACUCGCGGCACUUUCUCCCACUUUUCCCUCAGAUAUCCCCGGUGCGUGCCCUGAGUUAUAAACCAACUACUCCGCGUACUUAUGCCAUGGGAUCCGGGAGUGCACUCCUUGACUCGUGCAGGAUCGAUACUGAUAUUACUAGUAUUAGUAGUAAGUGAUAGGAUCGUGGGAAAUCGUAGCUCGAAAAGAAGAAGAAGAAUGAACUACUUUUCCAAGUAAUUAGUUGCAUUUGAUGAUCGUGAUGGAGGCAGAGAGUGCUGCUGAUCGCGAUCCAGAUCCGGGUCAAGAAUCACCUCCUGAUCCUAAGGAAACCUCAGCUGACGUAGAUCUACGUUCUCUUCGCGUGAACGCUCAGUCUGUAUUGGCUUGGGCCACAGAGCGUUCCGAAUCCCAGCCGCUAAAGACCCACAGAAGGCAAGAAGCUUGCGUUGCAUAGCUGCUGUCCCGCCUGACUGCAUAGAAAGAAGACUCGUUUAUGGUUGUUCUAUUAUUUUAUUAUUUAUUCUUCUUUUACUAGGGAAUUCCCAACAGGCGUCAGCGCCUUUUUACAGGGAACCCUAGGUAUAAUUUGAUGGAUGAGCGAAAUUCAGCUGGUGAACUAGACAUGCGGCAAGCCGGUGGAAGUGUAUUCCACCUGGCAGCGCCCAAAUAAGAAAUUGCACUAAAGCCAUAUCGGGUGUUAGCGGGGGGCAGAACAAGAGCAGCAGAGACUUGGCCACGGGUGAUGGCUGCAGUGCGAGCACCAUGGGCGCGCAAGGUAAAGCGGUCUCGCAGAAGAGGACUAGCAAGUCCAUUCAGGCAGCGGUAAACAAAUACAUAGGUUUUGAAGUUGAGGCGUUUCUCAAGGGCGUACAAGUUAGUAUGACUGUAUAGAAGAGUGGUGGGAGUCAUUCUAUCCAACGAAAAUAUUCUCUUUAAUGCUACGCGGCUGGCAGUAAGAAGCUUGUCAUAUAGGGUUUGUGAUAAGCAAUGAAUAUAUGCAGUGCUGCCAAACUCAAAUGUGGACUGAAUGAUCGAUAAAUAGAAAAGUCGUUUGCCAAAAAUGCUGAUAUUCUGCUUUGCAUGGACAAAUGCUCCGACCUUCCUAUUGACAGUUGCACAUACUGCAUCCACUUGGGUUGAGAAAGACAGAUGUUCGUCAACCAGUAUUCCUAAGUACCGAGCGUAAGCAGAUGGGGCUAUGGAAGUGCCCCGGCAGUUGACUGCGGUGCCAGGUGGCAGCUCCUUGCCCGGUCGCCUGAGCAGGACAAACUGAGUCUUGGACGGGUUCAACACCAGUCCCUUCUGAUCUAGGUAGCGAUCCAGAGCGGCAAGGUCAGCACUCAGCUGUUCUACAGCCGCUGCUGACGUCCAUCAGCUCUGUCCUGCUCCCAGCUGCAGAUAGGCCUGGAUUUCAAUGAGUCGUGUCCCAACUCCGGUGUGAACGAUUUCCCGACGUCAAUACGAAGUGGGGUCAAGUCAUGGGUGUUGCAAGGAAGCUGUCACAAGAUGAUCCGGUAUUGAACGGCUACAGCACAACCAAGAGAACGAAAUGUACGUCGCAAUCAAGCUAUGUCGUUGCCAUCUUCUAUGUGCCAUGCGUUACCUGAUGUGCCAGCCUGCUAUGUCGGAUGCCGCUAACCAUGCAUCGACUAGGCGCCAGGCGCGAACUGAUGGUGGUGGUGGUGAGAAGGAGAGCUCUGUGCCAGAAUAACUUUGCAGUUUAGAGAGCGUGUCUGGGCAGGCGUGUAUUUACCCCCAUAUUGCCAGGUGUGUAUUUACCACCAUAUGAACCAACCAUACGUGCAGUUGCAGUGGAGUCUUCAACUUCAUUCUCCCGAGUCAAGCUCCUUGUGAAGACAUCUAAGAAGAAGAUUGCCUGAUGAGUCCAGCCGGGACGAGAAGUACGUCGCAAUCAAGCUAUGUUGUUGCUGUGUCAUCUGCUAUGCGCCAUACGCUGCCUGAUGUACCAGCCUGCUAUGUCGGACACCACUCACCCUGCAUCGACUAGGCGCCAGACGCGAACUGAUGAUGGUGGUGGUGGCGGGAAGGAGAGCUCUGUGCCAGAAUAACUUUUCAGUUUAGAGAGCGUGUGUAGGCAGGUGUGUAUUUACCGCCGUAUGAAUCAACCACAGUACGAUCAGCUGACGUUAUAACUUAUAAGGAUGAUCUCGUGCAGCGAUAUUAUGAUAUUUUUUAAGUCUUUUCUAAGGACUCUCCACUGCAGCGUUUUCUUUCCACUCGGUUCUCUUCUUUUCAUCGCUCAGCUUGCACUUGCAAUGCUUAUACAUACUGAUCAAUCCCGUUCAAUUUUCCGUACAUUUUUCUCAAAAGCCAUAGCGCGGACGAAGUAGUGAUUUUCCGUACAAAUAUGGAAAAUACGGAAGGUUGAUAGCACUGUGUUGAGGCAGCUAUUGUUGACUUUAUUUGGAAUUAAUUCUGUUGUAUUUGCACACAUUCCUGAGUGCAUUGUAUUACUAUUAGCAUCCAAUGUGUGUUAUCUGUGCGAGCUUCUAACCUUGUGAACAUUCA